rnacentral:rRNA from 1 species
UACGUAGGGUGCAAGCGUUAAUCGGAAUUACUGGGCGUAAAGCGUGCGCAGGCGGUUUUGUAAGACAGGUGUGAAAUCCCCGGGCUUAACCUGGGAACUGCAUUUGUGACUGCAAGGCUGGAGUGCGGCAGAGGGGGAUGGAAUUCCGCGUGUAGCAGUGAAAUGCGUAGAUAUGCGGAGGAACACCGAUGGCGAAGGCAAUCCCCUGGGCCUGCACUGGCGCUGAGGAGCGAAAGCAUGGGGAGCGAACAGG